AGCAAAGUAGCCAUGUGAAGUCUUUGAUCGCCUUGCAUGCAGCAAGUGCUUGUUGUUUUGUUUUUGGAUGGGUUGCAUGUUCUAGCAAUAAUUUCCUCUGCGUAUGACAGAUGCAUUUGCUGAACCACAAACUGGACUCUUCUGACAAGCACGAGCACACUUCGCGGAACAACAGGAAAUAGCACUGGACAUUAGGACCAGCACAGAAACGAGUAAGAGGCAUACCUUGUGCAUUUACAAGUUAAUUCCUCGACCCAGAGAUUGUGCGACAUUUUGUUCCUUUGAAGAGUUCUGGUGAGUCUCUUUUCCAGGGGUCUGCAUACUCCUGGCCUGUGGGCCAAAGCUGGCCUGAUGCCUGUUUUUCUUCCUGUUUUGCUGUUGGUGAGGCUGCUGUAGAAUCUCAUGGAAAACGAAAUCCAGAAAAAAACCCACUCAGCUCACCUGAGUCAACUCAUUGCCAAAGUUGAAUGCCCAUAAAGAUAAAUGAUCAUCUAGCCAUGGGUGGCAGGAUAUUCGUGCUUUAUUUCCAGCGGAUCUCCACAAAUCGGAAGGCACACAAAAUUUAUUUCCUGUGUUACGUAAUUAUUGGCCUAACUCUAAAACACAUUUAAGUAUUAUCAAAAUUUAGAAGUGCAUUGGGAGAAAGAAGUAAGUGUGUGCAAAUAGAAAAUCAAUUGACAAGUGGAAUUUACCAGAGGACAGCAUUGCUGGUGCGUUCCCUGGUGGCCGCGUGGCCACCCUCAACGUCACAGCCAAGACGGGCAUUUGGUUAAGUAUUGUGGCUGUCGAUACAGAUGAAGUCUAAUGGGACAAUGGAGCAUGUGUGCGAGCAGAGGCGAUAGGUGUCUGUCUGCUGUUUCUUACCGGCCACUUGCACACAGCGUUUGUGAUGACCCAUGCACACAGAAGUCCAGCAGACCCAGCACGUGUGGGAGUUCAGCAAGACUCAAAUGUACCACGGCCGGACACUAAGUUCUCAGUCGACAGACCUGCAUUUACCGAAUAUGAGUUUAAUACCCAUAUCAUCAUCAUGCUUCGUGACUCUCAAGAAAACUGUUAAAAAGUUGACACAAACCACCAUGGAUACCCUGGGUUGAACUGCUGGAAAAGAUUAGUUGAAAAAUAUGCUGAGGUCAUCAGCUCCGUCGGGACCAGUCCCAAGUCUCUGGUCUCCACCAGUUAACACUGUACCUGAUAGAGAGUUGAUGUCUAGGGAAUGUUGGCUGCAUUAUUUGUGGAAUCUGUCAUUGCAUUAUCAGCAACAGGAGGGAAACCAGUCCCACUGAGUUUCCGAUUAGGCAGUUUAUUAGAAAUUAUUUUAAAAACCCACAUGUAAAUAUAGAUAAGGACACCAAAGCAAAACAUAAUGGAUUAUCUCUCUACCUAUAUUUUCUGCACCAGAGGGCAGCCGCAGGGGAGAGAAGUGAGGGACAAGAGGGAGGGGUUUCUUGACUGAAAGAUUUGCUCCUCUUAAUGGUUCCAACCCUUCACAACCACCUCUCCAUGAUGGGCUGACUUACCACUCCCUUAACUCGCCUCUUAGGACCUCAGAGUGGUAGCCGGUCAGAUACUAUUAGACCUGGACACUGAACUAUCCCUUUGAUUCCUCUAAAACCACAGUCUUAUAAUAAUCAUUUUGUAAAUAACCCUUCCUUGAGUCAUCCUAAUUUUUGUGUAUGUUACCUGUUGGAGCCUUGGUUGAUACUCUUUUUAUGUGGAAUUUGGAAUGACAGUAUUCAAUGAGCUAAGAUGUUGACUAGCAAAAAGGCCCAAUAUACAGCGGCUUAAAAAAUGUUGGAAUUUAUUUAUCUUUCAUGUUACAAUCAGAGGAAAGUAGGCAGUGUAGGACUGGGAAGACGCUGUCUCCCCUGAUAUAUGUCUUCCCCUGGGUAAAUGGAUCCAGGUGAGUGGCAUCGUUUUAGGAUCUCCCAGCCGGCAGUAGUGAGGGAAACAACCAAGGGAGCUCAUACACUAUCCUUUGAAGAAUAAGACCUCAGAGUGGAACUCAUCACCCCUCACACUUCAUGAGCAUUACCUUAGGGUCAUGGCUGCAGUUAGGUGACCGACAGGCUGGCAAAUGCCAUCUUUCUUUAGGCAACAUGUGCCCUGCUGACAUUCUAUUACUAUGGAAGCAGAAGAAAAUUGUUCUGGGAAUAUGACCAAGGUAAGUCCAGAGGCUCAUUUUAUUUCAAGGCGAGGUAGUCAGGCACUGACUCUAUCCCAGGGUUAUAAUAUUCAAUAAGAUGCUUCUUCCUUUCAAUGAAUUAAUGACUCAGUUAUAGAUAGGCACUAAGAUAAUUUCAACCCCGUAUAUGGGACGUGAGAAAGGUCUUGUGCAAGUGCUACAGAAGCACGGAGGAAGACAGAGUCCAGGUUUAUGGCUCCGUAAAGGCAUAAGAGAGCAGUAUUUGCGCUGUGCUUGAGACCAGGAUCACAAACUGAUGCCUUGUUGCCAAGCUAAUCACCAGUGAAGGUGCCCGUCCUUCCGUGGAGAGGAAUCCAUGACAAUGUAAAGGUCUGCCAAGCUCCUGCCCUUUGAUGGAAACCAAACUAAGUGCAUCUUUCUGCGUGAUGUUGCUAUAGCUUUUGCCACACAGCACAAGAGAAACCCACUCACUUAAUCCUGAGAUUUACUGAUUUACCCUGAGGUCACGGCCUGAGUCCGCGGAAGCUGGAAAUGGCCUGACGUAGAAAGAGACUGAUCUUGGGGUUUCACAUCCCCUUGCAGCAAGAGAACAGCAAAGUAUGGGAACAGCGCAGCCUUUCAUAAGGGGAUCUUGGGCCACACUGCACCAACAACGACAUCAAGCUGUUAUCAUUCUCCCUGAGGCCAGACGUGUGUUCUAAUAUCAGAACAUCUGAGACCCAGAGUGAGGACAUGUCUGAAAAAGGAACAGUGGCCUUCAUUUAUUCAAAGAGAUUUAUCGAAAAUCUGCUACAUACCACACAACGUGCAAGAAACUGACGAGUUUCUCCUGAUCCCUUUGUCCUCAUAAUAAAUCUUGAUUCAUAUAA